GGGCGCGUGAAAUAGCUUGGGGAGGGGUAAAUCUGUACGGGCCGGUUAAAUUUCACUCCGUCCCAUUACAAAUCCAUCAAACGGAGUGAAUUUUCACCCGUUUGACCCAAAAGGGAGCGGGUGAAAUUUCACCCGCUCGAGUUGAUGUUUUGAGCGCUGUAUCACCCUCCUCCGCAGCUCCUGCUCCCUCCUGCCUUCUCACAGUCUUACCACAGCACCACAUUAGAACGAGUUCGCCUCUUGCCUCUCCGCUGCACCGUCGCCUCUCUCCUCCGUUGAGCACGAUGAUCAGGGGGUUUGUUUCCAGUGGACAACCCGUGAUGGCACUCUCUCUUUAUUCCAGAAUGCUUCGUGAUGGCAUGUUGCCUGAUAAAUACACAUACCCGUUUCUCUUCAAGGCUUGUGGAUCUCUAGCUAGGAAUGGUCUGGUGCUAGGGAAAUCACUCCAUUGUCAUGUUUUGGAACUUGGGUAUGCGUUGGAUCUGUAUGUUCUGACUGGGACCAUGCACAUGUAUGGGCAGUUAGGUUUUCUAGGGGAAGCAAUGGAACUGUUCGAUAAUAUGCCGCAGAGAGAUAUGGCUUUUUGGACUAGCCUGAUCACCUGCUACGCUGCUAAUGAUUGUUGGGAAAAGGGUUUAUUGGCGUUCAACUUUUUGAGGAUGAUUGUAUGAAGUCAAAUUCAGCGACAUUGGUUUGCGUCAUGGGCUGUUGUGCUCAGCUGGGUGCGUUGGACCAGGCACGAUGUUUGCACUCGGUUUUGGAGAAAUUGAGCAUCAAAUUUGAUGUCUUUGUUGGCAAUUCUCUUGUUGAUUUGUAUGUGAAAUGUGGGAGGAUAGACUAUGCUCGUCAAGCCUUUGAUGAAAUGCCCAAGCGAGACUCAUUCUGAGCCGGAUGCAGUCACUUUUUUGGCAAUCCUUGGCAUCUGUCAAGUUGAUUGAAGCAAUGAGAUCUACAGCAAGUUUCCUUGAUGCAGUUGACGAACAACCUCCAUCGCUACAUAUAUGUGAAAUUUUGUAGUUCAGUGAUGCCGGUGGAAGUGGUUUCUAGGUGAAAGGCUAGAUAGAUUGCUGAAAUCUGAUUCACAAUGUAAAAAUUGCUUCUCUUCUGAAGGUGUUCUUAUAUCUGUAAUGCUGUAAUGAGCCUUCAAGGUUGUGAACUCAUUUAGCUUGUUAGAUUCUGCAAAGCUAAUCAGCUGGUUUAGUUUA